rnacentral:rRNA from 1 species
UACGUAGGGUGCAAGCGUUGUCCGGAAUUAUUGGGCGUAAAGAGCUCGUAGGCGGCUUGUCGCGUCGGAUGUGAAAGCCCGGGGCUUAACUCCGGGUCUGCAUUCGAUACGGGCAGGCUAGAGUUCGGUAGGGGAGAUCGGAAUUCCUGGUGUAGCGGUGAAAUGCGCAGAUAUCAGGAGGAACACCGGUGGCGAAGGCGGAUCUCUGGGCCGAUACUGACGCUGAGGCGCGAAAGCUAGGGGAGCAAACAGG